ACGUAGGGGGCAAGCGUUGUCCGGAUUUACUGGGUGUAAAGGGCGCGCAGGCGGAAUGGAAAGUCAGUGGUGAAAUCCUACAGCUUAACUGUAGAACUGCCUUUGAUACUUUCAUUCUUGAGUUCGGGAGAGAGAGACGGAAUUCCAGGUGUAGUGGUGAAAUACGUAGAUAUCUGGAAGAACACCAGUUGCGAAGGCGGUCUCUUGGUCCGAUACUGACGCUGAGGCGCGAAAGCGUGGGGAGCAAACAG
rnacentral:rRNA from 1 species